rnacentral:rRNA from 1 species
AACGAACGUUGGCGGCGUGCUUAACACAUGCAAGUCGAGCGCGAAAUUCAACUUCGGUUGGAGGGUAGAGCGGCGCACGGGUGAGUAACACGUGAAUAAUCUGCCUCAAAGCCCGGGAUAACCAUUGGAAACGGUGGCUAAUACCGGAUAAGCCCCACUAUCGUCGGAUGGAGAGGGAAAAGUUCAGGCGCUUUGAGAUGAGUUCGCGUCCCAUUAGGUAGUUGGUGAGGUAACGGCUCACCAAGCCGAAGAUGGGUAGCUGGUCUGAGAGGAUGAUCAGCCACACUGGAACUGAGACACGGUCCAG